CUUCUUUUCUCUUCCAAGGAGCAGUUCCCUUUGCCAUGUGGAGAAGGGGAAUCAGAGUUUGCUUCCAUGACUCACAGCCCAUCCUAUGGAUCAUACGGACCACGGAGGACCUGAGACUGGACAGGAAGCCUUCCGGAGCUACAGUUACGUCUUCCCUAGCACUGAUUCUGGGAAAAACACUCCAAACAGUCAUUGCUCCCUGAAGAGUGUGUGACCUUUGCUUUCUUUUUCUUCUCCGACCCUYCGUUUUUUUCCUUCAUUGGAGCAUAACUGAGACUCAGCAUCCACUUGUCACUUGAGGAAUGUACUGGGUCAAAGCCCCGCAGACUUCCUGAUUCUUUUCGUCYCUUCUGCUCUUUCUACCUUUGGUUUUAUUUAUAUGUGUUGUUAUUUGCCCUCCUCAUGCCCGUCCGUCACGGCUGCCCUCGGAGGGACGCGGGUGCCAGAGCUCCCURUGUAGCCCUGGACGCCAGGUGCCUUUGGUGAUAUAGGUGCCAUUGCAGUGAUAUAAAUAYCUGUUUUUCCCUUGAUAACGGAUUGUUACCUCCCACAAAAGGUGCGUGCGAGAGCGGGAUGCAGCUCCAGGCUGCACGGGCAGCAGGGACAUGCAGGGGCAGGAAGGGCUGUGGCUGUUCCUGCAUCCAUGAGCGUGUUUUCCAGCUGCUACACUAAUCCAAGUGAGUAGUUCUGCAGCCUAAAACAUGGGCCCUUUCACAUUAAUUCUGGAGUGGUGGAUUCCAGGAUCCCUAAAGGGUGAUCCUGAUUUUCGUGAGUAUCCUUUGUUCUCACCUUACACCCUGUUCACAAUCAAAACCAAGCAGUUUCCAAUGACAAGGGGAUGGAGGCAACCUCACUUGCAUCUCCAUCCACUGGUAACCCUGAAUUCUUAAGUAGCCUUUUUUAUCUGCAAAAAAAGAAUUUUAAAGACUUGUUGAAUGCGAGCAAAUAUAUGCAAUUCUUCCAUUCCCAGGCGCACGCUGUGUGCAAGCUGUGAAAACGUUUUAUCUGGUAACUUAACGACAAAGCAGAUUCCUUGGCUCCCAGCACAGCUGAAGAAUAAGAAACACCACGAGGCUUCUAGGGUCCCAGCAGAGGCAGGUGCCAGCGCCAGGGACGGAGCCGGUGCCGCCAGCACCGUGUCCUUGUCACGAAGCUGCCGCUCCCCGCGGGCUCGCGCCACCUUUGCGCUGGAUCUAUGUAUUAAAAAAUAAAUAUGUAUAAAAUACAAAAUAAGGCUGGUAAGUAACCAGUGAACGGGACUGAAAAAAGCAGUAUUUUUCU